ACCCUUCGACUUCUUCACAGCCCACAUCAGGUCAUGUUAGUUCUUCAUCAACCUCGACUAGGCGUGGUAGAGGAUGUGCCAAGGGCAUUAAAGAGUGGGGUACUGGUAAAAAGCUGCACAUACAAUUUGAUGGAAAUUACUGCCCAAUAGGGGAUAACGUGGCCAAGUUAACUACUCAACUUGGCUUAUUGUCCGGAAUGGUAACAUUGUUCCUCUUACUUUUGUUGACUGGAACAGUGUGCCUGAUGAUAUUGUUGAUGCUAUCUGGAAGGAUGUGAAGGACAAUUUGAAUAUAUGUCCAGAGGAGUACAAGCCAAUCUGCAUGAAAAACUGCAACAGCAUAUGGAGAGGAUCACAAGAACAAGCUUAAGGCUAAGUAUUUCAAGCCUAGAAGCUCUGAUC